GCUGAAGCUGCAGAGAUGAUGCAGAUCACCAGUGGGCACCCUGCAAAAUUCAGAGAUGGCGACAGUGUCAAAACUGCACUCGAUGCUUCCCUUCAGAAAACCAGGACCUUGGAUAGAAAAGGAAACUGGGAAAAGGCGUAAAAGAGGGCCCUAUCCCAUGGGAGGAUGAGGGCAUCUCCCAGUGAAUGUUUCCCCAGGCCAGUUCUGGAGCAGUAACGAGGACAUUUCUUGUUCCGUGUAGAUUCCCAGGGAGCAUAAUGUGGUCUGGGAAUCCUUCAGGAUGUGGAGAGAAGAAUCUGUCUUCUCCACGAAGAGUUUGGGCCAUUCAAACUGGAAGUCUUUUGCAGCUCUUUGGGCAAUCCAGAAAGGUGUAGCCAAGAAGUCCGCCUCAGUACUACUGUCAUGGAGACCGGGUGGGCAGCUGUAUCAGCUACAUCCAGUGCUGCCUCUAGCACCCGUCUGGCUAUUAACUGACCCUCUCUAAGAAUGGUCUGAAACUGUUCCUUUUGUAUCUCCAGUAAAUGUUCCAGAAAUGCAUUGAGUUUCCCAUAAUUAAUGAAAUUGUAUUUGGCCAUGACAAUUUGGUAAUUCGUAACUCUAAACCGUAAUGUUGCCGACAAAUACACCAUCUUGCCAAGCCCGAUCCUAUGGGGUCAGUUUGGCAUUAUGUUGCUUGCUUCAUGCAUUAACUACAUCCCCUAUGAUGGAUUUGU